rnacentral:rRNA from 1 species
GAUGAACGCUGGCGGCGUGCCUAACACAUGCAAGUCGAGCGAAAGGACGAGGAGUUGUCGUGCCUGAGUUUGUCGCCGGAGGGGUGAUUAACAUAGGGAUAACAUAACUAUACGACUGGGGUGAUUACACGAAACAGUAUCUAAGGCCGGAAAAUAUUUUGACCCGGAUGGUUCAAGAGUGAAAGACGGUCUUGCUGUGACUAAUAGAUGGAUACGCGCUGCAUUAGUUAGUUGGUAAGGUGACGGCUUACCAAGGCUACGAUGGAUAGACGACCUGAGAGCGUGGAUCGCCAGACUGGAAGUGAGACACGGCCCCGACUCCUACGGGAAGCAACAGUCGGGACUCUUCCGCGAUGGGGGAGAGCGUGAUGUAGCAACGCCGCGUGAGUGAUGAUGGUCUACGGAUCGUAAAGCUCUGUUAGUAGGGGGGAAGAUAUGUGUAUUUAACUGUGCAGAUCAUGACGGUACCGAGAGAAUAAGCCCCGGCUAACUCCGUG